rnacentral:snRNA from 1 species
GGAUGUGAGGGCGAUCUGGCUACAACAUCUGUCACCCCAUUGUCAGGGUUGAUUCAGCUGAUCUGGCUGACUAGGCAGGUGUCCCCUUCCUCCCUCAGCACUGCAUGUGCGUCCCUCCCGAAGCUGCACACACAGUAGAAGAUGACGACCUUCCCCAAUGGAGGACCGUUCUUCGUUCAAGGGUAUAUGAGUAGCUGCACUCCCCUGCUAGAAUCUCCUAACGAGCUCUCAAAUACAAAAUAUUACAUAAAAUCCAAGGAGGAAAAUGACCAAAAAUGCUAAUUUUCCUGCUAAAAUAGUCUGUUACCAUUGCUUUUUUUU